UACGGAGGAUGCAAGCGUUAUCCGGAUUUAUUGGGUUUAAAGGGUGCGCAGGUUGUUUGAUAAGUCAGUGGUGAAAGUCUGUCGCUUAACGGUAGGAUUGCCAUUGAUACUGUUAGACUUGAAUAUGGAUGAGGUAGGCGGAAUGUGUAGUGUAGCGGUGAAAUGCAUAGAUAUUACACAGAACACCGAUUGCGAAGGCAGCUUGCUAAUCCAUCAUUGACGCUGAGGCACGAAAGCGUGGGGAUCAAACA
rnacentral:rRNA from 1 species